rnacentral:rRNA from 1 species
ACCUUCGGGCCUCUUGCCAUCGGAUGUGCCCAGAUGGGAUUAGCUAGUAGGUGGGGUAAAGGCUCACCUAGGCGACGAUCCCUAGCUGGUCUGAGAGGAUGACCAGCCACACUGGAACUGAGACACGGUCCAGACUCCUACGGGAGGCAGCAGUGGGGAAUAUUGCACAAUGGGCGCAAGCCUGAUGCAGCCAUGCCGCGUGUAUGAAGAAGGCCUUCGGGUUGUAAAGUACUUUCAGCGGGGAGGAAGGGAGUAAAGUUAAUACCUUUGCUCAUUGACGUUACCCGCAGAAGAAGCACCGGCUAACUCCGUGCCAGCAGCCGCGGUAAUACGGAGGGUGCAAGCGUUAAUCGGA